rnacentral:rRNA from 1 species
CAUGCAAGUCGAACGAUGAAGCCCUUCGGGGUGGAUUAGUGGCGAACGGGUGAGUAACACGUGGGCAAUCUGCCCUGCACUCUGGGACAAGCCCUGGAAACGGGGUCUAAUACCGGAUGACACCCCCUCUCGCAUGGGAGGGGGUUGAAAGCUCCGGCGGUGCAGGAUGAGCCCGCGGCCUAUCAGCUUGUUGGUGAGGUAGAAGCUCACCAAGGCGACGACGGGUAGCCGGCCUGAGAGGGCGACCGGCCACACUGGGACUGAGACACGGCCCAGACUCCUACGGGAGGCAGCAGUGGGGAAUAUUGCACAAUGGGCGAAAGCCUGAUGCAGCGACGCCCGCGUGAGGGAUGACGGCCUUUCGGGUUGUAAACCUCUUUUCAGCAGGGAAGAAAGCGAAAGUGACGGUACCUGCAGAAAAAAGCGCCGGCUAACUACGUGCCAGCAGCCGCGGUAAUACGUAGGGCGCAAGCGUUGUCCGGAAUUAUUGGGCGUAAAGAGCUCGUAGGCGGCUUGUCACGUCGGUUGUGAAAGCCCGGGGCUUAACCCCGGGUCUGCAGUCGAUACGGGCAGGCUAGAGUGUGGUAGGGGAGAUCGGAAUUCCUGGUGUAGCGGUGAAAUGCGCAGAUAUCAGGAGGAACACCGGUGGCGAAGGCGGAUCUCUGGGCCAUUACUGACGCUGAGGAGCGAAAGCGUGGGGAGCGAACAGGAUUAGAUACCC